CUACACCUGUCCUUUCUAUUAUUAUCACACUUUACAAUUUGUUUGGAAAAACGACAUUCUCUGAAAAAGAUGGAAUACUUCCUCGUGGCUUUCACCAGCACAUGUAAUCUCGCAUAUAAGACUUAUGCAAUUAAUGGAAUUCAUAGGACAAGAAAGUUAGUGAACAACAGUACACAGUCACCACCAUUGCAGGCAACAGAUGUACAGGUUAAUUUGUCUUUUGCAAUCACUCUGCCCAUUGGAGCUGCCAUCUUAACUGUCUUAGGAUGGGCUAUUUAUAAGAUUCGCAACAAGAAACCAACACAGCAGGCUGAAGAAGCAGAGUUUGUUACUGAUAAUCAAUUAAUACAUGAAGUCCAAGACAUAGUGGCUGUUGCUGUAAAUGCAAUAGCCCAGUAAUUUUAAGGCUGAUCUACAAGGAUGUUGAUUUUUACUCAUUUGGGUUAUGACUUAUGAGUAACUUCUGGUAUGGUUUAUGUUGUAAUAUCACGGAUGUAUCAUCUUCUUUGUUUUUUCAAUUAAGGUUACGAGAUGCAAGCAUGGAAGCGAAGAAUUGAACUACAUGAUAUUAUGCGGCACAUACAUAAUUGUAGUUCACCCACGAGUAUCCUUCAAUUAUGUACAGUAUGUGUCUAUAUAUGCGGCACUUUUGUAUUAUUUAUCUUUUUGUGUCCACCCACAAGUGGUACAAUUUCUGUAAAUCUCGACGUAAAUAAAAAAAAAUGUAUGGUUAGGGUUAUUAGAUUCGUGGAAUUUGGGUUUCCUAAUUUAAUUACUGCUUGUCACGUGCGCACACACACUUAGUCAGUUACCUUUCCUUUUUUGUUUCUUUGUUUAAGCAGUUGGUAGAUUCCAAUGUUCGGUAAGAUUUAGCCUGUCAAAAGAAGAAGAAUUUUCAAAACAUUCUGUAGGUAUCUCUCUAUUAUCUGCUUCCAUAAUUUAGGUUGGUCUUUGU